GUAUUUCUCAUUUUCUUUUCAAUUACAGGUAGUGUGUCGCGUCGGUUAUACUCCGAAGGAGAAGAUUCUAGCGUUUCACCACGGCAAGAUCCACUGCCAGAUUUGGUGCCAGUACCACGGGACAGAGCGCACUCAUUACCUGAAGUGCCUCUUCGUCGGCAUGAACACAUCCGUGCGAUUGGACAGGAACUUCGGAGAAUUAGUGACGAGUAUUACCAGAAUCGCCACCAUUCACACCACCAAGAAAAACAUGGAAUCAAUUGGAAAAUGCUCUUAUUCAUGAUUCAAUGAAACAUUCUAACGAACAAAACAAGAUUAAAUAGUUUCUCAAGAAACUAUUUGUCUGAAGAAGAAG